AUGUUCUUCAUUACAGAAGUAAAGCAUGAAUCAGUCCUAUAGAUGGAUAAUCAAGAGCUUUUAAGAGCAGAUUUUAAAUUGUGUUAUUGAUAAUUUAAGAUAUGUAUUGGCUUUUAGCAGGAGGAAUACUAUGUUGCAUCCAUGCAUCAUACUCAGCUAUGCUCUCCAUCAGAGCCUUGUAUAUUGUUGGCCUAAACAGCACUGAGUUCCCAAACUUAACUCUUUAUGAGAUGGUAGAUGAGCUGGAACUGUAUCACUAUGACAGCAAUAAUAUGUCAUUUAUUCCACAGUAUGAGUGGUUAAAAAUAUUGAAGAUCAGCAGUUCUGGACAUUUCAGAAUAAUCUCUUAUAUUAUCUGAAGGAUCUUAGCAACAAUGCAAUGAAAACUGUAAUGGGACUUUUCAAUCAAACAUCUGGUGUUCAUUUUCUUCAAGGGAUGGCUGGAUGUGAUAUAAAUGGAAGCUCAUUUGCUGUUUUAGGGUAUGAUGGGAAUGACUUGCUCUUAUUUAAUACAACCUCACUGAAAUGUACUGCUGCUCAACAGGAAGUAAAGGUUCUUGAAGAUAUUUGUAACGUUCGCUUAUUUCUGUACAAUUUUGGAAGCAGUCUGUUUUGGAUUGUUACAGCAGAUUACUAUUUUUGGGGCAAAAACACUGAAUAAGCAA